GACUUCGUGGUGUAGUGGUCAGCACGCUGGGUGUAUAACCGAGAAGUUCGUGGUUCGAUUCCCGGCGAAGGCA
rnacentral:tRNA from 1 species